rnacentral:rRNA from 1 species
UACAGAGGUCUCAAGCGUUGUUCGGAUUCAUUGGGCGUAAAGGGUGCGUAGGUGGCGGGGUAAGUCAGGUGUGAAAUUUCGGAGCUUAACUCCGAAACUGCAUUUGAUACUGCCUUGCUUGAGGACUGGAGAGGAGACUGGAAUUCACGGUGUAGCAGUGAAAUGCGUAGAGAUCGUGAGGAAGACCAGUGGCGAAGGCGGGUCUCUGGACAGUUCCUGACACUGAGGCACGAAGGCCAAGGGGGCAAACGGG